GGUGUGUUAGGGCUUCUGGUUACCUGGGGAACAAGCUUUCUGAUGUUUAUGAGCUGGCAUUGCGCCGAGAUGCCGUGGUUGUUCCCACGGUGGCUCGCUGUGUAAUUGGCAGCAGGUGAUCCAGCCCCAUUUGCAAUCAGAACCAGUAGCUGUGAGGAAGCUGACACAAGGAAGGCUUGUCAGUUGAAAGGCAGUGCAAGGCACGCUGGGGUAGUAUCCAAGGUCUCCGUGGGAUGCGCAGUCAGGGAGCUUACCUCUGACUUGCCUACUUACAACACAACAAGAAAUGUGACUGUCUUCAGGGUCAACUUCAAAUUCUCACCAUAUCUCGGGCUGGGGGAUCCACAGGUUCCCCACCAUUUGUGAACCCAACCUAUGUGUGAACUUACUCCCUUGAGUGCUGGAAUCAUAUGGCUCUGACCAGCCCAUGUCCUUAAAGCAAGGCACUGUUUGUCAGGCACCAGUCAGAUGAUGAUUCAGCCAGACCUAUGUCAAUAGAAGGCAGAGACAACAGAAAAUAUUGGAGCCAUGGGAGAACACAAGUCCUGCAAUUCCGUUCCCUAAUUAUCACAGAAAACACAGCUGAGAUGAAGAGCUCUACUUCCAGGAAAAGGGUAGCAUACCAUAAUAGGAAAGGAGUGAAGACUCAGCUGAAGCCAGUGGAGAAUGUAUUAUCUUCAAAGGGAACUACCUAGGAUAAAUGAAUUUGGGUUUGAUGCCAGUGUUUUGCCAAAAAGAUGAACAUGCAAACAUUUGCUCCAAAAGGUGAACAUGCAGAACUGAUUUGUUUCCAGGCAAAAUCUUGAAGGCAUAUAUGGUUUGGACUUUAAAGCCUGAUGUGGUUUAGACCGGAUUAUCUUAAUGAUUGCAGCCUGCCUACUUGUUAAGAUAAAGGCCUGCUCCAUGUCCUAUCACCCCAAAGACGUGAUGGAAAGUGACAAGGGAGAGGGCUUUUUUCGUAGCAGCACCCAGGCUGUGGAACUCACUCACCAUGAAUUAAUUUUGGGCCCUAUAUGGCACACCUUUUGCUAGGCCAGUAACCUUCACUGGUUUAUGUGGCAGGGGCACCGGCGCAUCCUCUGCCGCCUCCACCAGCAUGUGUAUUACUUGCUUCAGGCUGGUGGGUGUGGUCAAGUAGCUACUCUGCUGUGAGUAGUACUUUAAUGAAACAGAUAUUAUAUGUAUAGAGAGGCAAAUGCAGAUGGCUUUGGAUGCUCUUGCUGGCUGUUUGUUAGCCCUGCCUCUAUUCCAGGACUGGAAUACAAGUAACUAAAGCUCCAUUCAAAAGUUGGCCUGGAUCAAGGAAUGGAUUAACCAAAAACACCACACAAUUUGAAUUCCUGGCUUGAUCCAGCUCUUCUGUUUCCAAGCACUGUUUCCAAGCAGAUUUCCAUGACAAACUCAAGAAUUACAGAUCUGUAAUUACAUACACAAAACAGCCAAACAAAAUAAAUCCCCCUCCCUUUAUAAUACACAUCUGCUCACCUAAGCAAGCGGUUAGGGCUGAUUCAAUUUCUGUCUCAUGCAUCAGACAGAUAGACAUUAUCUCCCUCUGUGUCUACUCACAGCAGAGUAGUUACUUGACCACAUGCACGAGCCUGAACCAAGUCACUGACUCUGUGGCAGGGGUUACACAUGCGCGCACCCUGCAGCUGCUGGCAUGCACCCACACCUUCUGCUGUAGCCCAAUGGCCACCCCCCCACAAGUGGCCCACAUCCCAGUGGCAAGUGGGAGGGUGUGCACUGAAGGUGCUCUCCAGGCACCAUCCUGUCCUUCCUGCCUCCUGCCGCCACUCUGAAGACAUGGCAGAAGGCAUGAGGAAGGAGUGCACCCCUUGGCAGGGGAUGAAGGAGUGAGUGAGAGGCAAGUUGGGGGCUGCCAGCAGGCUCUGUGCAGGCCACCAGCAGCCUGUGGGCCAUGCAAUGAAGAACACUGUGCUAGGUCAUUAAUUAUGAUUUUUAAAAACCUAUCAAGCAUUUGGAUGAGUCCAUAGUUCAAUAGUAAAGCAUCUGCUUAGGAUGCAGAAGGUCCCAGAUUCAAUCUCCAGCAUCUUCAGGUAGGGAUGAAAAAGAUUCCUGCCUGAAGCCCAGGAGAUCUGCUGCCAGUCACAGCAGACAAUACUGAGCUGAUGGGCCAAUGGUCUAGCUCAGUAGAUGGCAUCUUCCAAUGUUCCACCUACAGCAGUUUGUGCAAUGGGGCUGUAUCUGUAUCUCAAUGACAGAGCAUCUGUGUUAUAUGAAGAAGGUUCUAGGUUCAAUCCCUGGCAUCUUCAGAUAAGGCUGGGGAAUACUCCUGCUUGAAAUCUUGGAGAAGCCACUGGCAGUCAGUGUACAAUACUGAGCUAGAUGGACCAAGGGUCUGACUUGACAAGGCAACUUCCUGUGUUCCUAUGAUUUAUUUGACUUGCUUGCUGUCUGUAUUAUUUUAUUUUUCUGCUGCACUGUGUAUUUUUAAAUAAAUAAAUAAAUAAAUAAAUAA